CGGCCGCGUCGACAUCAUGGCUCAGAUUGAACGCUGGCGGCAGGCCUAACACAUGCAAGUCGAGCGGAUGAAGGGGGCUUGCUCCCUGAUUCAGCGGCGGACGGGUGAGUAAUGCCUAGGAAUCUGCCUGGUAGUGGGGGACAACGUUUCGAAAGGAACGCUAAUACCGCAUACGUCCUACGGGAGAAAGCAGGGGACCUUCGGGCCUUGCGCUAUCAGAUGAGCCUAGGUCGGAUUAGGUAGUAGGCGGGGUAACGGCCCACCUAGCCUGCGAUGGAUAGGGGUUCUGAGAGAAAGGUCCCCCACAUUGGAACUGAGACACGGUCCAAACUCCUACGGGAGGCAGCAGUGAGGAAUAUUGGUCAAUGGGCGAGAGCCUGAACCAGCCAAGUAGCGUGAAGGAUGAAGGUCCUACGGAUUGUAAACUUCUUUUAUAAGGGAAUAAAACGCUCCAC
rnacentral:rRNA from 1 species